GGAAGGAUCAUUAGGGAGAACCUUGGGCCUCUCACACUGCUGAGCCCAAUCUUCAGCCCCCUUUUUUUUCUGAGACUCCUCAGUUGCUUUGGCAGGGUUGGUUGCAGAGAGAGAUCUGCUGGAAUGGGCCCUGCCAGUGGACAGCACUUUGCUGUCUUGACACUGAAAUUAUCAAAUACACAUAUCAUACUCUGAGACAAGUCAUUGAUCAAACAAUUCAAGCUCUUAAAACCUUUGACAAUGGAUCUCUUGGUUCUGGCAUCGAUGAAGAACGCAGCGAAAUGUGAUACGUAAUGUGAAUUGCAGAAUCUAGUGAACCAUUGAAUCUUUGAAUGCACAUUGUGCCCUCUGGCUCAGUUUCUGAGCAGGGGGGCAUGCCUGUCUGAGUGUCAAUACAAACAUCAAGCCUGGCUUGGUUUCGGGGUGCAUCAUUUGAUUGAUGGCCCUCUGACAUGUGUUGGGUGGUCUGACUUUUCCAGCUUUUUCAAUCACAGAGUAGAUUGUGAGCAGGGGCAUGGUUGGAUGUAUUCACCCUGAGUGUUGGGCUCUGCCUGCUCUCAUCCAAGUUUUAUAACCUCAGAUCAGGUAGGGAUACCUGCUGAACUUAAGCAUAUCAAUAAGCAGAGGAAAAGAAACCAACAGGGAUUGCCUCAGUAACGGCGAGUGAAGCGGCAUCAGCCCAAAUUUGGAAUCCAGCAACCGCUGGAGUUGUAAUUUGCAGAGGAUGCUUUGGCAGCCUGUCUUGCUGGCUUUAUGUUCCCUGGAAUGGGAUGUCACAGAGGGUGAGAACCCCGUGAAGGCCAGUGGCAGGGUGCCAGUACAAAGCUCCUUCAAUGAGUCGGGUUGUUUGGGAAUGCAGCUCCAAGUGGGAGGUAAACCCCUUCCAAGGCUAAAUAUUGGCCAGAGACCGAUAGCGCACAAGUAGAGUGAUUGAAAGAUGAAAAGCACUUUGGAAAGAGAGUUAAACAGUAUGUGAAAUUGUCAAAGGGGAAGCGCUCACAGUCAGACUGAGGCACAGGUGCAAGGCCAGGCUCUCCUGCCUGGCUUGCUCAUCUGUGCCUGGGCCAGUGUCAGUCUGAGGGGUGGGAGAAAGGCAGUGGGGGCACAGCUGUGUCUGCAAGGGUAUGGCUGGGCUAUGCCUGCUGUGCCAUGCAACCACCUUGGACUGAGGACUGCGCCGCAAGGCAAGGACACUGGCAUAAUGGCUGUGAGCGGCCCGUCUUGAAACACGGACCAAGGAGUCCAACGUCCAUGCGAGUGUCUGGGUGUCAAGCCCACAUGCGAAAUGAAAGUGAAUGGGGGGGCAGGAGCCUGUUUUGUCAGGUGCACUGUCGACCGAUCCUGAUGUUCUCGGAUGGAUUUGAGUAAGAGCAUGGCCGCUGGGACCCGAAAGAUGGUGAACUAUGCCUGUGUAGGCUGAAGUCAGAGGAAACUCUGAUGGAGGGCCGCAGCGGUUCUGACGUGCAAAUCGAUCGUCAAACAUGGGUAUAGGGGCGAAAGACCAAUCGAACCAUCUAGUAGCUGGUUCACGC
rnacentral:misc_RNA from 1 species